ensembl:ncRNA
UUCGUUUUCUGGCAAUCAAAAG